AGGUAUAAUAAAGCAGAAUGUGGAACAGCACGGUCGACUUGUAAAUCAAUUAGCCGUCGUUCAUUGUUGUUACCGAGCCACUCUAUUACUCCAAAGACAAUACAGCUGGUUACUAUGAGAAUUCGCUCGUUUGAGAUCCUAAGUUCGUUUCCCUUAGAAAAGUGCAAUGACGGAUUUCGGAUCUGCAUUUAUUCAUGGAUCGAGUUCCACUGGACGUUUCCAGGGAUCGAUGGAUGCAGAAUCGAGUCGAAGAAUGCUGCGGAGUAAGAAGGUAGACGAAGAAGAGGAGCAACGGAACGCGGAAAAUAGGUGGGACGAGCGGAGAAACAAAUCGUAAUGACCGAGGAUACGGAGAAGGGUACAGUUACGGGGAAAUAUUCCCACGACGAUCGGAGACUCGUUCGACUUCUCAACCGUGUUCGAUCUAAUUUCCGACCGAUACGGAUUCAGAGAUUCGACGACCAUUUUGCGAAGACGUGAUACCCGGAGAACACAUGUAGAUGCUGUGAAACGUGUUCCACGCGUCCAGCGUGGGAUUUGAUACGAGGAACGGACCAGAAAGAAGAGAUAAUUCAAUUAACAUCGAGGAACGGAUUUUAAAGUGCGUCUCUUGAAGAUCGUUAAGAAACACCACUAUCUUUCGGCUCCUUGUUAAAUUACAGAGGACAAUGUCUAAAUCGCCACUGUCGUCGCAUUUCCUGUAAGAUUAUGACCCGAACGGUCUUACAAGAAUCUGUUUACGCGACGAUCACACAAAUAGCCACCGAUUCUCACCGAUUACGACACCAUGAAGCAGUCUGUAACUGCAUCCGGAAGUCGAUGAUGGUGGAAGAAUAAUACAGCGAACCAAUAUUCGAAGAACCAUCGUUACAACUACAAUUCCAGAAAAUGUUACGAGAUGAACAAUUUUCAGUUGAAAAAUGUCGCUGUUGGAGAAAAGGUCACAUCUUCGUGACGCGCUCUUCGAUCAGUGAAACACCCUCCCUCGAUCGAGGAUCGUCCAAGCUGACAGUGUAUUCUACAGAGCAAUGCAACGUUUCAUAUAUCCUGGAUAUCAUCAUGAAGGGAACAUUAAUCAAUUCGCGAGGAAUAGUGGAACUGGAAUGAUCGCGUGGGCGAUAUUAGGUGUCCACCAUUAGAGAAGGAACGUUUACAUUUGCCGAGUAGUAAGCAGCAAUAAAUAUUUGUCGUCUGACUGUCGAUCGGAACCGGUAUGCGACACAUGGCCUCACGUCUACUGUCGUUGCAGCUGUAAGUGCUCUCUCGCACGUUAUACCGCCAUACCUUGCAUUCAUCGUUUCAGGAUUGUACCAGGUAUUAAACAUGGACACGGUGGUGCCUUGAAUCGUAAUGAAAUAUCUCGGUGUCCCAGAAACAUGAAUCAGGACACUGUAUGUAUUAGACGUCCAAGUGUCACGGAGAGCGUAACCAACCGUCGAAUCGAUUUCAAGCGUUCUACGACAAAAGGACCAAUUUAGAGCGAUUCCGUGGAUCUAUCGGACCACCGCGUUGAGCAACUCUCACGGCUCCAUCGCGUGGAACAAGAAGCCGGAAAGUCGCGGAGCUAGGCGGCCGUCAUUGAUCUCCUGUUAGAAUCGAAUCACUUCGAUGUAACAAGAUAAAUAGUCAGCGGGAAACCUUGGAUCCGAGGGCGCGGAUCGCGUAGUCAUGCUGACUGUUCGAUAUCUGUCGGUUGCUGGCGCGAGUUCCUCCGACGCGACUACGAAGGCGGUUCAACGCGUGAGCGCGAGGUAUCGAAGCUGCGACUGUGUAUACCGGACAACUUGACAGCACAUGGCUGCCAAUUUUCUCUGCACGCCGAGAGGAAACGCGUGACACUGCUUCAGAGCACCUCGUAGACUCGAGUUUGACACGAGCUUUGGAAAACUACCAUACUCUUUAUGUAGCUUUCAUGGGAUGGCCCAUGAUCGUAGGAUCGUUGGCUCUUCUUUGGAAUGUGAUCUUUUAAAGUUUCGCAAUAUUUUUUUUACGUUGUUCAUAUAGAGGUGUUGCACAGCUUUCCGUACGAUUUUUCUCGCCUUUUACUUGUUCAAGUUAUUUGUUUUAUUUCUUACGAUUUGUAAAAGUAUUUGUUAUAUCUCGUAUUUUCGAAAGAUUGUAAUUUUUACAUCGAAUGUAUAUAGAUUUUAUAACGUAGGGUUCGUAAUUGAUUAAUCGAAAAUUCUUUCGAAAUUUUUAAUCAGAAUCAAAAUCUCAGACCAAAAGAUGAGAAGUCCUUUCCGAUCGUUCCUCUUUGCGUUUCUUCAUGGUUUUACGUAACUCGAGGCAGUCAGAUACGGAGUUAGGUUUCCCCCGGUGAGUAUCCGGGUUUAAUGCUUCCGUUCCGGCGUGGAUAUUCCAAGUUUUCGAUCAGCACGAGCUGAUCGGCUUUUUGCCGCGACUGCUUUUUGCGCGAUCAUCGCCACCUUCGUCACGGCCACGCCCGGGCACGUGAGGCCAUGAACACGGUGUUACAGGUGUUUGCCCAUCCUCAGGCCUCGAAUUCUUUUAUGCCCUUUCGGCUCUCGGUCUAUUAACGCUUGCAGCCUAGCAGCACAACUUUUCCCAACGCCAACGGGUGACUCAUGUUUUAUUUAAUUCCCCUCGCGCCGCGCAAAUUCCUCGUCGUCGUUUCACUUCGUUCUUUCUUUACUUCCCCAGGACUUUGGCUGCCUCCGUCUAGCAGCUCUUCUUACGCUUCCUGCUUUUUCUCCAUCAACCUCAUUGUUGUGUGCCGUUUUUUUUUUCUUUCUUUUUGGAUUCGUCUUAGUUCGUUUUGGUCCGCGGCGUCGUCAAAAGUCUGCCAGGCGCUCUUCUGAUUCGUGAGUUCGCUCGCUGUUUUUAGUGGCAACGAUCCUGUCACGAUUUUAAACGCAACAAUGGUGGAAGGAACGCUUUGAGUAUUGUUUCGUCAAGCAGAAAUCUCGCAGUUUCGUAGACCGAUGUUUUGCGAAAUUUUACGCGAUAGACGAUUGCACGAACGCGGUGCAGGGAGUCAUUAAACUUCUAUUUUCUUCCCAAACAUCUUUAUUGACUAAGAGUCUCUGAGAACUUUCUUCUUUCAAUUAUUUUAGCUUAACAAUCUCAGGGAGAGGCGAGUUCAUUAAGGAAGAUAAUUAUGGUUCUAUCUUUCUAAAACGAAUAAUGCAAAUAUUGUGUGGUCAUUAGGAGUUAAAAGUAGGAUUUCACGAUAAUAUGUAUCUUUCUCUUUUUGCAAUCAUGCUUGAAUUACAUUACAAUUCCGCGCUUAUUCUUAAAAAAAAGACAGAUCUUUAAUGUCAAAUAGCAACACGUUUUCUUCAAACUAAAAAAAUUUGUUACAAACAGAAAGAAUACAUUAUAAUAUUGCACGUGGUGUACAUACGAUGCGUUUCAUGUUUCUUCUUGCAUUUAGAAAACAACAAUCACGAAAACGACGAAAAUGACGACAACGACGACGACGACGACGACGACGACGACGACGACGAUGCACGACGGGAUUCUAGUUGAUAAAAAGUGGCUAGUAAAACAAGCGAAGUGUGAUCGGUUAUGUCAAAAGGGUGUGGGGACAGGGUCGAUCGAAGGGGUGGUCAAUGGGGAUUGGUGAGCAGCUCGUCUGCUCGGUGAACCGUGGAUUAAGAUAAACCCUUCAUCGGUUUCUUGUCGAACGAUUCUUCCUCCUGUACGUUUCUGCGCCGCGAAUGGUCGAAGAUAGGCACUGGCUUAAAGUACUUCCCGUCAUUCCGUUGGAAAUUAUUUAACGUCCGGUAUCGUGGCGUCAUCGUUCACCACUCGAAAACGUCCGGUAAAAGUGGCCAAACAGUCUGGCUAUUCGAUGAAAUUAAACAUAUACACGAUUAUUAUCCACUUUCUACGUUUGAAAAUUUAUCUAAUUUCUCCUCGCCGCUCGUCACGCCUUAAUUUCAUUACGAAUUUCACCGCGACUCGUAGAAACGAAAUUUUCUCGAACAGAUAACCUCCGGGCGAUUAUUCAGGUUAACCGAGGAUAUCUUUAAAAAGAUAUCGAAGAAUAAUUGCUAUUUCGGCAUUAAUGCAAAAUUGAGCAUAGCUGAUCGCUGUAGAGAUGAAUUGCCGGAGAUCUGUUUGGAGUUAUAAUUGCUCGUAGGAUUAAAAUAUCUCCAUAGCGAAUUUCUGUAAUUGGAUUUUUUGCAAACAGGAAGUACGAGAUUCACGUACGAUCGCGGUACCAUAAUGGCGCCUACAACUUUCAAGCAAUCAAUCCUAUUAUCAUUGGAACAUACCGUGUAUUUUAAUUCCACGAGUUGUAAAAAGUUAAACAGGCAAGGCAAAAGCAUCGAUUAAAUUCGAAUUCCACGAACUACAUUGUUCUUGAAGGAUUUUCGAAUCCCAAGGAUGCCUUUCUGGCACGUACCAAAUUCCAAGGUCUUUAAUCUUCUCUCCAUUCAUGCAAAUUCGGCGUAACGCGAGAGGAACGUGGCGGGCCAGCGCCUCGGGCGAGAUUCUCUCGUUGCGGGAACGCGGAUAGAAAAAAUAAUGUGGGACAGCGGACGCGUUCCAGUAUGCGAUUCUGUGCGACCUCGCGCGUUUAUGCGCGGUGCGGCGCAAUGGGAACGGCCCGAAGGAACCGGCGCUGAACGGUCGUCGCGAGACAAUGAGAAACCAAUCCGCGUGCUCACCGCCUUACGAGAGGAUGAAAGAAUGCCACGGAACCGGCCGUAAAUCCACCUCCCUCGAGUGCGUUCGCCGGCGUGAAAUUAAGAGAGCAAUGGCGAGGAGAGACGAGCCACCGACGCAGCUUCUGCUGUCGAUAUCCAGGCAACUUCUUUUAUGGAAGUAGAAGAUUCUUCGUUUUAUAUUUAGGGAGAACGUUUCUGGAACUUUGCGAAUGUUGAUUUAUGAUUACGAAGGAGAACGCGAGGAUCAUUAUCGUGAAUAUUGCUCGAGACAAAUUUAAAGACUGUAUCGUAAGUGUUUUUCUUUUUUUAUAUGGAAAGUUUGAUAUGAAAUUACGGACUUUAAUCAUCAAUUUAAAAAAUUUAGAUUUAUGAUUAACGCGGGAAUAUACUACUAAGUUGAUUCAAAAGAAAUUUAAUCCCGCUACAAUCAUGGAGAUUUGACAUUAAAGAAAAAAAAAAAAAGAUGUAAAAAUCGUUUUUCAGGCUUCUCUUUUAGCAAGCUUCUCUUUACAAGUUUCUUUUAUCAAAUGUUUAACACGAAGUUAUCUGUAAUUCUUCCAAGUGACAACGUGUAACUGCUGUUCAAAGCCAUGUAACGCUUGUUUAUGGUAAUCUGCGCUACUAUCGCUGUUUUACAGGAUAAUCAGAACAAUUUCAUCUAUGUAAUAACACAAGGAAAAUGUUUUUUCGCACCGCACGAUCACGACUAAUUUAAACGAGAUCAUCUAACGUUGCCACGCGAAUUCACGAUAGCGCGGAACAUCUUUUACGUGGCUUCUCGCGAAGUUGCGCAGCGUCGACUAAUAAUUUUCCGUUUAAACAUUACAAUUACUAAUUACUCCGCGAUUUCCGCCGAUCUCGAUGAUAUCGCUGCUAUUACUUCUUCUCCUCGCGGGGAUAACAAACCUUUCCAGCCUUGAGAGAUUAACCUUGUUUGCUUUUCGAUAACUUGCAAUCGUAGUUUGCAUUUACACCCUCCUGUUUUUGAAAUUUUUAUUCGAAUUCUGUUUCCUGACGCAGACACGUGAAAGUGGAGGCAGCGAAGAGUUAUUUUGUUGUAUCGCUUUAACAGGCGAAAUUUCGUAUACGUUUGUAGUAUCUUAAAUAGUCUAGAGUAAGGGCAAGAAAGGAUGUUCUAUUUGAAGUGAAGUUUAGUUUUAUUUUAACAAGCAAUACCCAAUGCAAAAACUGACUACAAUAUCUUCGUACGUCUUAGUCUAACACUCGGCUCACGUCUGUCUUCCCAGGUCAAGAAAUGCUGACCCUCAACCCUCGCACCCUUCUCCCACUCCUUUACUCAUUUAGUUUUGACGCGACCAAGGCAUACACUCUUACGUACACCAUCUCUCUCUUUCUCGAGAAAAGUCGAACUUAAAUAUAUGAUAGACCAAGCGUAUACCCCCCACCCCUUUUUUGAUAUUACACGUUUUACAUCCGUUUGAAACUAGAUCCGUGAUCUUUAAUACGUACAGAAGACACUGAAAGAUCUCGUCUCCACCUAAGAUUCACAGAAUUAAUGGACGCCGCAGAGGAAAUCUUGCGCAUUAUGGUUCGCAUUCAAAGCUUCGAAACAAAAUUCACGGUCUUUAAGAGCUACGGAAGAUACAAAAAUCUUACACACAUCGACGUUCACCUAAUUUCUUCACAAGACCUGCUCCCUUACCCAAGAUUCUUCAAGCCAUAAAGUUAGCGAACGAUGCAGAGGAAAUGUGGUACAUUAUUUCCCUUCGUUUAUACCUCUAAAACGAAACUCAUGGUCUUUAAAACUAUCGCAACUACCGAAAGCUUAUACGUACCGACCAUUCGCUUAGUUUCUCCACGCAGACUCACGCUAAUCCCGACAUCCGAUCUUUACCUCCACCCUAUCUAUGAUCAGUCCACAUUUCUACCAUACACGAGAACUCAUAAUUCCCGGUAUAACGUCCACUUCCUCGAGACACACAUCCUCGCGUCGACCAGUAAGGGUAGUACAGAUGAAGCAAAAAAGCCUGGUGCAUCGGUCGGGCAGUUGGAGACGGCUGCUGGCUCGGGUUAUACGUGUUUGGCGGCGGAAACAGCGGCAUGAUAGCCCGUUUAACCCGUCUCCAACCCCCGCGGUGCAACUUGUUUUCCCUCGUGUUCGCCUUUUCUUUUUGGCAAAGCUUCAACCCUAGUGGAGGGCAGAAGGAGACUGUGAUCGAAGGGAGCGCGACGUUACGGAUGGGUUUGUCGGCGUGGUUCGGGUUUUCUGCUCGCUUAAGAAACGACGUGUUUACCGGCCAUCGAAGGAAGCCCAUAACCUGUCCGACUGGCUGCCACCGCCUCGACAGAUAUACUACGAAGUCACCACGAAGCACGCACCACCACCACCGCCGGCAUCGUCGUCGUCGCCGUCGUCGUCGUCGUCGUCCACCAGCCAGAAUGACGUUGGUGACACCGACGCCACCAUGGACGAUGGAAAAACUGUUGGUCGAUCGAUGGAUCCGUCAAACGGAUUUCGAGGCCGAGAUUAUUUAUGGGCUCGGUUGACGAGCGCAGAGUCGCGCGAUUCCUUUUGGGACCGCGCGUUAAACUCGAGGUAUGAGCGCAGCUUUUUCUUCGGUUCUUGAUGAGAAAAGCGGAGAACAGAAGCGGGAAGCUUCGAUUAGUUUUGUGAUAUUAUACGUGAUCACUUUGGUGGUUUUGGAAAGGUGUUUCUUUAGGAAUAUUUCGUACGUGUGUUCGUAACUACUUUCAGGCUUUGAUAUUUUAUGCAAGUGGCUAGGAACUUGUCAUGGGUAUCGUAACGGUAAAUUUUAAAUCGUAGCGUUGAUUUGUUCCAUUUUAUUCGAAACUCUAGAUGAGAUAUAACAUUCAUGCUAACGCAAUGGAUCGUGUUCGUAUGCUACAUCGUAUUACAGAUAUAAUCUUCCAGUAGAUUCUAGUACUUUCUAACGAGAUCUUCCAGCUAUAAGUAUACUACUUUCUUCCAUUAUUGUCUUCCUCAAACAAUUGAAAUAACACGAAAUAUUCGGAUCUUCGCAUUACUCGAGAAUUACUAAAUUAACAAGAAUAAAUACAAGGUUCAUUACAGAUACGAUCUUACGGUACAUUCUAAUAUCUUCUAAGAAUAUUUCUAUCUUCUCUAUCUCGAAACACUCGUUACACAAACUUUCCAAGAAAACCAUCCUUCUCUUCUCAACGAAUACACCUAUACGUACUAAAUAAUUCCACCUUUCACGCAACAAUUAAAUCUCGCGAUCGAAAGGAGCAACCUUGACGCUACAGACCAAGAAGAUGCCGGAUCUAUGGCGGGGCAAAAGAAACGCGCAGUUUCCACGUACCGAUCACGAUCGAUCGAUCGAUUGAUAUUCAACGUGCAUGUUAAUGGGCAAUUAAUAGUCGCACGGCACUCGUAUCGUCGCAUACGCGGCGUGCCGGCGGCGGGGGCCAGGGAUGCUCUUUUCAAGCUAGACGGUUUUGUAAUCUCGGUGUCUCUCCCGGCGUCUCCCGGCGUCUCCCGGCGUCUCAUUCGUAUGCGGUCGACGUGGCCGCGAACGAGCUUAUAAGUAACGCAGUAAUGACACAGGCUGUCAUGGCGCGGAACAGUUUUCUCGGCUCCCAUUGUCGUUAAGCGGUUGGCCGCAGCUGAUUUAUCGGCGCCGCCAGGGAAAUUCCGCGCGCGGAUCUCUCGCCGGAUGCCUGGCUGCCUGUUCCACGUAUAUCUGCCUACGUGCAUUAACGUUGUUUUUCAUCGAACGGGAUCUAGCUGAAGGAUCUAAGCAUCAGAGGUUCGCAAGCGUUGCACAGAAUUUAGAAAAGGAGCUUCGAACAGGGUGAUUUUCGAAGAAUUCUUCGUCGAGGAUUUUAAGAGACGAAAUUGGUAUAUUCACGGUGCUCGUUGAGCGCGUACGUGAAUUUUCGCGCAAAGGGUCGUUAAGUUGACACUUUUACGUGUAAAAUAAUCGAAUUAGGAAUAUCAUUGGAGCUUUUGGAGAAGUUUCUGAGAGUUUCACGAGAAAAGUUUGGGAGAGAGGUUCGCUGACAGUGUAUUUAUGACCUCCUACGCUUAGGAAGAUAACUGAGAUUAAAUUUUUGUACAAAUAAUUGAAUUAGGGAUAUUAUCAAAGGUUUCGAAAGGGGUGGAUUUUGAAGAUUUCGUGGUUGAGAAUUUUGAGGAUCUUGAGACGAAAGAUAGCAAGAACGAAGGAUGGUUAGACAGACUUUACUUAGUUUACUUAGACAAGUAACGACUGAAAUUACAUGAAGCUUUUAAAACGAAAAUAUGUGUUGUUAACAUAAAUACAGAAUUCUUUCCUAUAUCUAAUAUAUACAUAUCUGUAUUUUUUUUCACUUUUUAACGAUAAAGUUAGAAAAGCAGGUUUGUAGAUCGACCGAGUAAGCGGAUCGAUAAGAGGCAAUAAAUCGAUGCCUCGUGUCGUAAAAUGAAAAAAUCGCGAAAUCCUAUUGGAAUACUUGUAUGAAUGUUUUAUCAUUGCGAAAGAAACCACGAUUAAAAAAAAAGCCUUAGAAACACGUUAUCGAGCAGUGUUAUCAGAGAUUCUUGUAAAGCGGGGAACAUAGGGUUUGAAUAGCAUAUUCAUAUCGGUGUACUAUGUGCGAGUAUACACGGAGAUAGGCCGAUUUUUAUGACUAUCCAAGUAGACUAUCUAUCGAGCAACCGGCGUCUUAGCGUCGUCAUCGUUAAAUUUAGUCGAUGCACAACGAAGAGAUUUCGCGAAUCGAUUUGCAAAUAUUCACUGAUUCACGCUUCCACGAAUUAUAAUCGAAAGUACACAAAUUGUUCGAUGUUAAUUAAAUUCCUACCUUAUAAAACUUUCCAAAUUCUUUAUAUAGAUGUUCAUGUAUUCAAACUCCGGAGGAACAACAUUUCGAUCAAGCAUCGAUCAAAUAACACCAGAGUAGAACAAAUUAUUCUAAUGCAACUUUUGCAUCGAACAUACGCUCUGCCGGUUAUUAAUAUAUUUCUAAUUGAUCUAUAAAUUCAAAAAAAAAAAAAAAAAAAAUAUGUGAAGUGGCUAAAAAGAGGAAAAAUCAUAGAACAGUAAAAUUACGGAAUUCUAUUCUCCGUAACAAUACGUACUCUUCAUAAGGAAAAAGGAACGAUUUUUUCAAUGUAACUCAUGUUCGAUAAACGUAUCCACCGUUUCGCGGCAACUGUUUUUACAUCGAGAACAGUCUGAAACAGGAAGGGAUAAAUAUUCCCGACAAAUUAUCGUUCUAGAUAUUACCAGAGAGAUAAUCGGCGAGAUAAGGACGCGUGCCUACAAAACUGUCCGAAGUGUAAAACCGAGAAACGAUACGACGUCCAAUUAAAACUGCUCCCAACGCGCAGCCUGUUUCAAUUCUUUUCUUUCUUUCCUCUCACCUCCGUUCUUGUAUUCUCUCUGUUCUUCGAUACUAAAACGGCACCGCUCAUCUGGCAUCGUUAAUUAAUCACGAAUAUUUAUUGCGUACUCACAUGCUCAUCCGCCUUGGUCUAUCUCGGGAGGCAAUUAGCGAAAUUAUUGCAUGAAAAGGAGAGAAAAAAUAUGUGCGAUUCCUCGCGAGCGCGAUUCACUGGCCCGUGUUCCACGGCCGUCGUCUCGCUGAAAGCACACUCCAGACAUCGACCGAUCGUAUCCUCGCAAUAAUUAGUUCAUUAAUGCCACAUUCGUUCCUCCUAUUCAAUUUCCCGAUUAUCCGCUUGAGGUAGAGCUUCUAACUCCGCCAUUCUUUCCAAUCGUCGCGUACCGAGCUUCGUUUACAUCGAAUUAGUUAUACCGUUCCUCUAUGGUAUUCCUGCGUUUCCUUCUCCCUUUGUAUCGUUUCCUUAAUUCCAAUCGUGAAUUAUAAUUUUCUGUAAUCUUUAUUAAGACAUCUAUGGUAUCUUCUAAUUAAGAAAUUUGCAGAGUAAAAGGAAAAUUUUCGAAACAUCAAAUAUCAUCGAGUUGUUCUCAUCUUCGCAAUUGUGCAAUUUCCUCCAUCUUAUAAAUUCCAACCUUCCGCUAUUGCGGAAUUUCAAUCGUCGUCAAAUCUCCUGUAAUUUCUAUAGAUCCAAAUUUUUAUCGAACCAUCGUCAAAUUUUUUGCAAUUUAUUUUUGUCGAAUUUUAUCUGGAUAUUUGUCUGUUCCCUCCUAAUCUACCCAUCCCAAUACUAAAAUACCUAAAACCUUAUCCAGAGUGCUUCAAUUGGGGUAGAAUUUGGAGAAUAGGAGGGCAAAUAUCGAGUACAAAAUCCUUUGAAAAGUGCAACCCUUCGUCUUCGAUAGGAAAGAUUCUCGCUUGAGCGUGGCUUUCCCGAGGAUCGGUAGGGCUGUCGCGAGCGGAAUCGUUCUUCAUCGAAGUUUCGAGGUCACUAGACAGAGGCAGACCAAUAGCGCGACAGACGGACAGACAGCAGGGCAAGUACACCGAUAACGACAAACUGGCCCGAGAAAAACGUCGGUGAAGCGAUAAAUCAGGCCUAUUGCAUUCCUAAGAUAGCGCGUUGUCUGAAAGUCAUUACGCUGGCAAAAGUAAUUCCCAACUAAGUAAGUAAAGCAAUAAAUACAUAAUGCAUCCGGCGAGUUUCCCACACGCGUACUCGCUCGCUCGCUCGCUUAAGCGCGGGCGCACAGGCGGGCGACCGCGUUGCAGUCCCUCAUCGCGAUUCCAUGAAAUCAUGCAUCAGCGGGGACCACGCUGUGUGUCGCGGAUUUAUUUGCCACGCCACGCCGGAUCGCGACGCGAUUUCUUUUUCGCAAUCGCGCGCUCGAUCGUCGAUCGACCAAAGAAAAGGAAAAAAAAAAAAAAAAGAA